AGUGGAUGGGGAACAACCUAGUUGUGCGUGUGUAAAGGUAGUGCCAAGAAAAGCGGUGAUCACGAUGAAAAUCAAUUCCCGGUACCCGAAACCGACACAGGUGGGCAAGUAGAGAAUACUAAGGGGCGCGAGGUAACUCUCUCCAAGGAACUCGGCAAAAUGACCCCGUAACUUAGGGAGAAGGGGUGCCACCGAGAGGUGGUCGCAGUGAAGAGGCCCAGGCGACUGUUUAGCAAAAACAUAGGUCUCUGCAAACUCGAAAGAGGAGGUAUAGGGGCUGACGCCUGCCCAGUGCCGGAAGGUUAAAGAAGUUGGUCAGUCUUAGGAUGAAGCUAGCGACUGAAGCCCCGGUGAACGGCGGCCGUAACUAUAACGGUCCUAAGGUAGCGAAAUUCCUUGUCGGGUAAGUUCCGACCCGCACGAAAGGCGUAACGAUCUGGCGCUGUCUCGGAGAGAGGCUCGGCGAAAUAGGAUUGUCUGUGAAGAUGCGGACUACCUGCAUUUGGACAGAAAGACCCUAUGAAGCUUUACUAUAGCUUGGAAUUGUGUUCGGGCUUCCUGUGCGCAGGAUAGGUGGGAGGCGUAGAAGGUAUUCUUGUGGGGAUACUGGAGGCAACGGUGAGAUACCACUCUCAGGAGGCUAGAAUUCUAACUUAAUUAAGGACAGUUUCAGGUGGGUAGUUUGACUGGGGCGGUCGCCUCCAAAAAGGUAACGGAGGCGUACAAAGGUUCCCUCAGACUGGUUGGAAAUCAGUCGCAGAGUGCAAAGGCAGAAGGGAGCAUGACUGCGAGAAGUACAGUUCGAGCAGGGUGGAAACACGGUCUUAGUGAUCCGACGGUGCUGUGUGGAAGGGCCGUCGCUCAACGGAUAAAAGUUACUCUAAGGAUAACAGGCUGAUCUCCCCCAAGAGUUCACAUCGACGGGGAGGUUUGGCACCUCGAUGUCGGCUCAUCGCAACCUGGGGCGGAAGUACGUCCCAAGGGUUGGGCUGUUCGCCCAUUAAAGCGGUACGUGAGCUGGGUUCAGAACGUCGUGAGACAGUUCGGUCCAUAUCCGAUGUAGGCGUGAGAAUAUUGAGAGGAGCCUUCCUUAGUACGAGAGGACCGGGAAGGACGCACCGCUGGUGUACCUGUUAUGAUGCCAAUUGUAAACGCAGGGUAGCCAAGUGCGGAGAGGAUAACCGCUGAAAGCAUCUAAGUGGGAAGCCCACCUCAAGAUGAGUAUUCUGGUGUAAGGUCACGGGAAGACGACCCGUAAGUAGGCACGAGGUGGAAGUGCAGAGAUGUAUGAAGCCGAAGUGUACUAAUAGACCGUCGGCUUGACC
rnacentral:rRNA from 1 species